UAAAAGUCCAGUUGGCCGCAGUAACUGGCCUUUGCCACUUAGGGGUAGGAAGAGCAGCAGCUGCAGCUGGAGCCACACAGAGGAGCUGCUCUCCGCUCAGCUGCUGAUGCCUGAGAGAGCAGUGGCUGGCUUCCGGACCGGGCUCCAAGAGUCCAGUCCUGCAAACGGAGGUGAGACAGCUUCCAGGACCAGCCCCUUAAUGGGGACAGAGACUGACCUGGGGUAGCAAAUUGACUAGCAAAAUGCCCAUGGCCCAUGGAAAUCCACAGAAAACUUUUCAUUGGCUUCCCUGUGCUUUGGAUCAGCGCUUCAGUGAAUCGGCCUGUACUGUUCAGAAGAAUUGCAUUCAAGUCGAACACAUCAGGAAUCUGCAUCAACAUACCGCGCCUCCCGUGAGGCGCCUUUCAAUACAAUUUUACACACAUGAUUAAUAUAAUGGUUUCAAAUCUCA